UACGGGGGGGGGCAAGCGUUGUUCGGAAUUACUGGGCGUAAAGAGCUCGUAGGUGGUUUGUCGCGUUGUCCGUGAAAACUCACAACUCAAUUGUGGGCGUGCGGGCGAUACGGGCAGACUGGAGUACUGCAGGGGAGACUGGAAUUCCUGGUGUAGCGGUGGAAUGCGCAGAUAUCAGGAGGAACACCGGUGGCGAAGGCGGAUCUCUGGGCCUUACCUGACGCUGAGGAGCGAAAGCAUGGGGAGCAAACAGG
rnacentral:rRNA from 1 species